CCAAAACAAAAUCUAAAAGUUAUCUUCCUCCCCCGAAAUCUUAUCCUUCCCUCUCGUUAUCUCGUCGCGGCUCUCCCUUCAUGGCUGAUACUUCUCCUUCGACCACAACCCACUUGAAUCGUGCACAAAUCUCUCUCUCUCCUUCCUCUUUACCUAGGUCUACUUCACAGCUCUCUACCCUCGGUGGCUGUUACUCGUUCAUCGACCGUAAUCCACCGUCACAACUCUCUCUCUCUGUGCCCUAAAUUGGCUGUUGUUCCAUCUCUGUUGCUACUGUUGCCCCAU
rnacentral:lncRNA from 1 species